CAGAGACCUUUUCCCCAAAUAAGGUAACAUUUACAGGUUCCAAGAAUAAGGAGCUAAUAUCUUCUGGCCCAUUUUUUGGUCUACCACAGCAGCUGAAAUUGAGAACCUCCAUAUUAGCUAAAUAAAGAACUAUGUCAAAAGAAAAGCUUUUUUGGAAAAACAAGCAUUUGAGAGGAGUUUGAGUUUUUUGGUUUGUUUUUUAUUGAUGUCUAAUUAACAUACAGUGUUAAAUUAGUUUCAAGUGUACAAUGUAGUGAUUCAGCAAUUGUAUACAUUACCCAGUGCUCAUCAUGAUAAGUGCACUCUAAUUCCCCUUAUUUCACCCUCCUUCCACCCUAAGAGGAGUUUUAACCCAUGGUCUAUGGGCUCUGUAUCUGUGUGCCGAGUGCGGUAACCACUAAAUACAUGUGGCUGCUUAAGUUAGACUUAUUAAAGUUAAAUAAAAUUAUAACUUCAGUUCUUCACUUUUGCCAUUUCAGGUUCUCAAUAGCUUCAUAUGGCCAAUGACUAUCAUAUUGACAGCACAAGAAUCACCGUACAAAGCUCUGAUGGACACCACUGAAUCCUGUAUUUCUAGGUGCAUAUGUGUACUUUUUGGGGACAGGGUCUAACUGAAGACACAGGUUACUGACCUUGACAAAGACUAGCCUGCCCCAUACUUUUGGAAUUGGUACCCAAAAUGUAAAUUUUGUUUUGUUUUGUUUUGUUUUGUUUUGUUUUCAAAAUGUAAAUUUUGAUUUAAUACAUUAAAAAAAAUCCACACUACUCACUUCUUUUGGAAAACUGAAAAAUCUGAGAAUACUGAUUCUGCAUUCCCUCUGGGCAAAUGUCUCUUGGAGCAAAGUAGUUUCUACUUGUGGACACUUAGAGCCUGCUUUCCCCCGUUGCUAAAAAUCCCCAUCUGCCCCCUUCCAGUUCCAUCACCUGCCUGGCUUCUAAUCUGAGACUUUCGGUCUUCAUCUUCUAUCUGAUUCUCAAAGAUGUCCGUGACCCAUAUCACUGCUUCUCAAAGUUGAAUGUGCAGAGGAAUCACUUGAGAAUCUUCUUAAAAUGCAAAUUCUGACUCAGUAAGGUUGAGGUGGGGCCUGAGGUUCUGCAUUUCUAACACAUUCCCAGGUGAUAAUAAUGCUUUGGUUAGCAAGGCUCUCACUGAAUCUCUAGCUAGUUUAUUAUAUCUAGCAACAAGGCAAUGUCUAUUUCCUAGACUAACUUAAUGAAGAACCAAAUUCGAGCUGCUAUAAAGCUGGUCCAAAUAUCAGACAGGCCGGGCACCUGGGUGGCUCAGUCAAGUGUCUGCCUUCAGCUCAGGUCAUGAUCCCAGGGUCCUGGGAUUGAGCCUUAUAUCGGGCUCCUUCCUUGGUAAGGAGUCUACUUCUCCCUCUCCCUCUGAUGCACUCCCCUGCUUAUGUUCUCUUGCUCUCUCCUAUGUUAAAUAAAUAAAAUCUUUAAAAAAGAAAAAAGAAAAAAAAA
rnacentral:lncRNA from 1 species